GGGCAGAGCUAGCAUGGUGGUUUGAGCAUUGGACUUCGACUCUGGAGACCAGGGUUUGAUUCCCAGCUUGCCCA